AUGAGUAAUGCUACUUUUUCUAUCUGCUCGUGGAAUGUACAUGGUCUAGGCGACGAUGCCAAGCGAUCUGACGUUCUCUCUGAACUGAUCUCGAUCAAUCCUCACAUUGCCUUAUUACAAGAGUCAAAACUCGAUGCGUUCACUGACCCAAAGCUAAGAUCAUUCCUGCCUCGGCAACUAGACCAAGUUUUCUCCUUACCAGCCGUGGGUACGGCGGGUGGCACCAUUUCUGCCGUCAACACUGCCUCUUUCCAAGUGGCCUCCUUCAACCACCUCACCUUCUCUUCAACCUUGAUCUUGCGAUCAACGGCAGCCGACUGCAACAUAGCCAUCACCAAUAUUUAUGCCCCCUCCUCCCGCGCACUCAAGCAAUCCUUCCUCAGUGAGUUACUAGCUAUCGCCCAACCAGAUGACUCACCCUGGCUACUUGUGGGAGAUUUCAACCUCCUACAUUUCCCCUCUGACAAAAAUAAUGACGCGUUUAGACAGUCUGAGGCCAAUGCUUUUAACCAAACUCUAGAUGAACUAGCCCUCAUCUAACUACCGCUUCUAGAUCGCCAAUUCACAUGGUCCAACAGUAGAGAGACACCCACCUUAGAACGGAUAGACCGCGCCUUUUUUAACUUGGCCUGGGCUGACGCCUUCCCCAACUCAUCCCUCUCUUCCCUCACGCGUUUCACGUCCGAUCACGUACCCUCCUCAUACACGUCACCACAACAAUCCCGCGGUCCAACUUUUUCAAAUUUGAACCUGGUUGAGCCAAUUUCCGGCCCUGCAGAGACAUUAUCAGCUCCGUCUGGGCUCUCCCACGGCCCACCACGUCGACCAACUCUGCCGCCACCCUCGCCUCCUCGCUCAAACAAUCUCGGGCCAUUCUCAAAAAAUGGGCACGAUCGCGUAUUCCCGCCCCCCUUCGUGAAUCUCGUUGCAAAGCUGCUAUCGUUGCCCUCGAUCAUGUUGAAGAAUCCAGGUCUCUCUCCCUGCCAGAACUCCUCACUCGCAAGAUCAUCGUCUCCCUCCUUAAAUGCACAAUCCAAGAAACAAUGA
rnacentral:rRNA from 1 species